UUGAACUGAAGAGUUUGAUCAUGGCUCAGAUUGAACGCUGGCGGCAGGCCUAACACAUGCAAGUCGAGCGGAUGAAGGGAGCUUGCUCCUGAAUUCAGCGGC
rnacentral:rRNA from 1 species